rnacentral:tRNA from 1 species
GCCUUGGUUGCAUAAUGGUUAGUGCUCGGCUGCUAACCGAAAGGUUGGUGGUUUGAACCCACCCAGUGGUU